UGUGCGCGAGUCAUGGAGUGUGACGAAACUUACAGGCGCAAUGAAAGUGAAGGCUCGUCUUUAGACGUGCCCAGGUAGGAUCCCCCCGCUCGCGGCGGGGCGCACUACUGGCCCGUCUCGAAUCUCUUCGUAGAUGAGGCGGAGCAAGAGCGUACACGUUGGGACCCGAAAGAAUGGUGAACUAUGCCUGAGUAGGAUGAAGCCAGAGGAAACUCUGGUGGAAGUCCGUAGCGAUUCUGACGUGCAAAUCGAUCGUCAAACUUUGGUAUAGGGGCGAAAGACUAAUCGAACCAU
rnacentral:rRNA from 1 species